GCAAAAAUCCUUCAUUGUAAGGCCUUUUUCACUUUAAGGAAGUGUCCUUCUCAUUUUAUUUUAUUUUAUUUUUUGUACCAGGGAUCAAACUCAUAACCUCGUGCUUGCCAGGCAGGCACUUAUGCAGCCAAGUUAAAUCCCAGGCGGAUGUGUCCUUCUCUCACUCUGUCUUAUAUGAUGUCCCAAAUACUUCUGGCUCGCUCUGCUGCACCAGACUCCUUAGAUGAUGUGUCUCCGCCCCACCAUAUGCAGUCUCCUGCAUAUGCAGCAUUCCAGCAAGCUGCAUGGCUCUCAGCAGCCAUCUUGCUGCAGCUUGUGUAGGGGGCAGUCAAAAUAUAAAUUAGGGUCUUUCUCUGCUAUUCUUAUUUCAAGAGAUCUCUAUUAAUUAAUCUACAAAAAGGUUCUCACUAGUCUAUUUAUUAUAGUUCAAAUUGGCCAAAUAUAUUUGAGUGCACUCUGAUGUUGUAAGAUGAUUGUCAGUCUAUAUAUUUGUUGUCUGUUUGUCCAGUCUGUUUAUAUUUUACAGAUCUGUCCAUGUUUGUCCAUUUGCCUGCUCUGUAAACAUCUGUUCCUUUUUAUUUGAACUCCACAAUCUUUUUUCCUCUUCUUUUGAAUUUUCAAGGUUUCUUUGGGUUAUAGGUUAAACAAACAUGCUUCCACCUAGGUUGCCAGCUGGUCAAAAUGAUGUAGAACUAGUUAGACAAAAUCCCUUGGGGUGAGGAGACAUUGGACAGGAUUCUAACUAAUGAAUAAGAAAGUGGCCACCUGGUAACUUUAACCAGCUCUUGUUCAUUAAUUGGAGGCCCCAAUAAUCUCCAAAGCCUUGUGGGAGACACCUCAACUAAAGUUCAUAUGAGUAAGACAAUUCAUUAUUGCCGAUCUGAUGGUAUCAUUCAUUCCUUCAAAUGUAGAAUUGAGAUUGUUUAUUAUGACGUGUUUUCUUUCAGAUCCAGACGUCUGCCUUUUUCUCGUGCUCCAGCCACGUUGGAACAAUAUGAGGUCACUGGUAUAAUAAUUUUUAAACAAAAAUUUAUUAAUGUAUAAAUAGUAAGCAGUCCAACCAAUGUCACAAAUUUCUUUAGUGCUCAAAUGGUAAAACACUGAUGGUUAAUAGAAAAUAGUAGUUCCAUUUAAUGUUCUAUGUUAAGUUCACUGCCUCUAUUGCACUGUACUAAUAUCAGUCUUCUGGAUAUUCAACAACUAAAAUUAAGAGAUAAUUAUAAAUUCCUUUUGGAUUCCUUUUGGUGGGAUCCACCAGAUCUUUUCCAGAAACAGGUUAUAUGAUGCAUAUGGGCCAUAAUUAACUAUACUCAACAAGCCUUAAAUGACACUUCAGCUGAUCUCUCUCUUAAAUAAAAAGGUAAAAUUAAUAAAACAGACCAUCUUCCAAAAAUCAGAUGGCACUAGACAUUCUAACAGCACAGGAGGUACUUAUAAAAUUGUAAAACCUAAAUGUGUGUAUGACAAAUGAAUGGCAUGUCAGUUUCUACAAUUCCCUGGACCUCCUUAUGGGAAGCCAUUACUAAAAUUAUACUCAUAAAUACCAUGUUGAUUGUAUUAUUUGACUCCUGCAUGCUUAAUUGAUCCUUUGGCUUUGUCUCCUUUCGAUUUAAAGCUCCACUUACCCAAGGUAAAAAUGCCUGUUGUCUACAGAGGGCCACUAGUUAAAAACUCUGUAGAGUAUCCCUAACUUCAGUUCAACAACUUUAAUGCCCUUCAGCCUGAAGAAGCCAGAUCGGUCUCUGCCCAUUAUCCCUCCUGGCAGUUUGGGUUACUUCUUCAGAGAAAAAAUGCUACAGGCAUCUAAGUCAGUUAAAAAUAUUAUAGGCAGUCACACAGGGCUAGGGCCUCAAAAUAGCCAGCACAGAAAACCAGAUGUCUUGUGACUGUGGAGGAGAAAGAUACUUUCUACUGUGGGCUAGAUCCUAAGACAGAAAGCUAAACGUGGCCCUCAAACCCCACAGGGACACCUUUUAAUAUGGCUUUUUGUGUUUUCAACAACAGAGAUAAAAAUCAAAAGGAAAAAUAACAACCUGAUCUUUUAACAGUGACACUUGGAGCCCUGGGAUAGGUAAGCGGAGACAAGGUGGAGCUUCCCAAGCCCUUCCCAGACCAUGCUUCAGGUGCAACAAAGAAGGACAUUGGGCAAGAGAGUGCCCCAACCCUGGCAUUCCUCUGGGGCCUUGCCUCUAUUGCCAUCUCAAGGGCCAUUGGAAGAGUGACUGUCCUACCUGGCAGAGAGCGGGUAAACCAUCCUCUAACUCCUUGCCCUCACAGGAGAUCUCAUCACCCCCAGACUCAUUGCUGACUGAUCUACUCAGACUUGCUGGUAAACAUUGAUGGGGUUCAGGGCCCACAGCCCCCAUUAAGGUGUCCUUCUCAGAGCCACAAGUCCCACUGGAGGUCUCAGGUAAAACAUUCUCUGUGCUUGUGGACAUAGAGGCCAUAUAUAGUGUUCUUCCUGAGUUUUCAGGCCCUUGUACUAAGUUUUCAGUCUCUGAGGUGGGUGUUGACGGCCAACCUAUGCAGCCUUUGCAGACAGGGUCUAUUCCAUGCAGGUUCCAGACUGUCUUCUUUACCCAUAGCUUCCUAGUAAUUACAACAUAUCCCACACCUGUUUUAGGUAGGCUCUCCUUCAAAAGCUUACCUUCUCCUUUACCUUCUCCCUCCCCCACAGCUCUUGUCCUCCAGACGCCCUCACAGUGCACUGAGAAGCUAUCUUCUCCCCUCCCUUCUUCUCUGGUUAAUCCCAUUGUUUGGGACACCUCCAGUCCCACCUGCUCUACCCAAGUCAUGCCUAUUUUAAUUCAUCUUAGGGAAUCUUUCCAUUUUUUUCCUUGUGUUCCCCAAUAUCCCAUAGUUCCCAAACAUUUACAGGGAUUUAAACCUAUAAUCAAGCACCUUUUAGACAAUGGUUUUCUUAAACAUACGCAUUCACCCUGUAAUAUUCCCAUUCUGCCAGUACUCAAGCCUGGUGGGUCUUACUGUCUAGUGCAGGACCUUAGGAUAAUCAAUAACACUCUUACCCUAAUCUACCAAGUGGUGCCAAAUCCUUAUACCAUGCUCUAUCAUAUCCUUCCCCCCACCAUUCACUUUACAGUUAUAGAUCUUAAAAAUGCUCUUUUUUUUUUUUUUACCAUCCCCCUACACCCUGAUUGUCAGGAUUCCUUUGUGUUUAUGUAGACUGGCCCAGACACUCUGAAGUCUCAACAACUUACACCUGUCAUCUCUAUAGUAAAACCUCUUCUCAGGGACACAUACCACCUCCUUCCUUUGCUAUUCAUCAAUUUUGUAGAUAUACCCCUGGUCAGGACUGACAGGUAGAUUUUACAUACAUGCAGUACCACAAAACUCUCAAAUAUCUUCUCACCUUUGUUUGUACUUUUUCAGGAUAGAUAAAAGCCUUUCCCACAAUCAAGGAGACUGCUGAUGUAGUUACUAAACUUCUGUUAUAGGAAAUCAUCCCAAGAUUUGGUUUACCUCAGAGUAUUCAGUCAGAUAAUGGUCCAGCCUUUAUUUCUCAGAUCUCUCAACAGGACUACAACUAAAAUGGAGUGGCCCCUACCUGGUCUUCCUCAGAACUUCAACAGUGGUCAGGGUUGCUGGACUUCAAUCCUGGCUGCACAUCACUCAAGCUAAGCGGUGCCCUCUUAAGCCUCCCUAACUCUCCUGACUCAACAUUCUGAGUGGUCAUCUAUCGUCCAUCUCCAUCUUACCAAGGUCCCACAGCCACAAUUUUCAGGCUAGGUCAUGUUUUGUUAUCCUAUUUGGUUCCUGAUCCCUUACAUUCUAUUAGUUAAUUUUUCACUAUAACUAUCUUACUUCUCUCCGUCCUCAGAUGUUUAGUUAAACAUGCAAUCCCUGUGGGUCUAGGCUCUCAUCUCCCUUACAGUGACACAGCCAUGGCCUUCCCCUACCUCUACUCUGUAAUUUCCCAAAUAUGAUUCAAUCAUCAGGCCUUAUAUUUCUUGUGCUUCUUAUUCUUUCCAGCUCAACUCCUAGACCAAAGACACGCCCUACCUACCCACACCUUUAGCUUUUACCCUUUCAGAUGAGGUAAUAAUCAUCUCCAUAACUUCACGAUUCCUAAUCCCACACUUAUUUUUCAGACUCUAACUCACUGUGCCCUUGAUAGAAUGGCAUAUUUAAAUCAAAGAUACCUUUCCUUCUGCCUCUCCUGGGUCCUUAAAUAUGAUAAUGCCCUGCCCUCUCAUAGCACCUUGUCUCUUUGUUUUCCCAAUCUAGGAUAUGAGCAUUCACCAAUGAUUAAUUCCUUAUCUUGCCUGAAACUCUGGGUACCAGCUUCUACAUGAGCAUCAACCGUUACCCUACCAACCUUCCUAAACUCCAAUACGGCACCCCCUUUCAGCAGUUCUAGCAAGGCACAGUGCACAGCAACCAGAACCUCACCAGACCGCGGGUGGCAGGCGCUCCAGGGAAGCGCCAUAAGGGACACAGUCCUUGCCUCUGGGAGCCAUCUCUGUGUUCUACCAGGAGAAAUUUCUCUGUCUCUGAAUGCAUUCAGUACUCUAGACACAGAUGUGCCAUGGUCCUUUCUUAGUUUCUUGAUGUCUCAGUGGCACUGGACACAGCUGCUCAACUCUCACCUCAGUGACAUUUUUUCUCUUGGCUUUCAAAACAUCUUCUGGUUUCCCUUCUACCUCAGUGGCUACUCUCCAUCUCCUCUGCCAGCCCUCACAUGUAUCCCUGGCUCAGCCCCCGGACCUGUGCACUGACACACCUUAGCUGAUCUCAGGCUGACCAUGUCUUCCGUGCUACUCCUGCUGUUCAGCAACUGAACCACAAAUGUAGCAUCUGAAAACCAACAAACCAAUGUCUUUCAGUGUCAGUGUCAGUGUCAGCAGCCUGGGUAUGGCUUAGCUGGGUGGCUCCUCUCAUGGUCCUUCAGGAGAUGACAGUCACCUGCAGGCUGGGAAUCCAUUUGCAGGCUCUCACACAAGGCUACUGGCAGGUGCCCUCGGCUUGCUGCGGAGGUGGGGGAAGGCCUGGCUCUCUCCUGAAGUUGCUUGUGAUUUGGCCAUUGAGUUCCCUCAGGGCAAGUGGAGAGAGAACUAAAUCGGAAUCUGUGAUGUCUUUUAUUAGUUCAUCGCGGAAGUGAUACACCAGCACGCCUGUACUCUGUUGUACAAUGGGGCAUCUAGGGGACUGCAUAAAGGUGUGAAUUCCAGCACACUGGUGGCAGCGAUCAUUGGAGGCCAUUGAAGCUUCUGAAACUAUUCUGACUCACAGUAUUUACUCACAUCACCACCAACUUGCCCUUUUCCAUUUCGGUGUAUGACAUUCUGUCUACUGGGGCCUAAAGCCUCCAAGUCACCUCUGGCUCUUCCUUACAGUCUGUCAAGCCCGUCAGCAGUACACGUCCUAUCUUUCAAACCUGUACUAAAUCUGAUCCCUUCUUCCUCCAUGGCUAUCACUGCUGUCCAAACCAUCACCCCUCCUCUCUACUGUGUGCAUACCACACACAGCAGGUUUCUCCAAUGUCCCAUCAUGGCACCUUUCUUGGUCAGAACUUUGCUUUGAUUGCUCCUUUCAAUUAAGAAAACAAACCCAAAUUAAGGCUUGAGAGAUUCUGGCCCGUGUCCCUGUCCAACUUUCGAAAACCUUCUGUAACUCAACACUGCCCUGGAGAUAAAGCCCAAACUCCUUGCUGUGGCUUACCUGGAACUUCUUGAUACUGCCUCAGUUUACCUUACCAUUUUAAUUUCUUGCUCCUUUUCACACUAAAUAAUAUACUACAGCCAAACUUAAGUGCACUGUUCCCCAAAUACAUACUUCUGGUGUCUAUCUAUUUUGCUUCCUACGGUGGUGAAUACUCCCCAGCCAGUGUCAGUCACUGUCAUAGCGGCCACAGCUCCACCCUUUUUUUUUUUUUUGCAGUACGGGGAUUGAACUCAGGACCUUACGCUUGCCAGGCAGGCGCUUAUGCUGCUAAACUAAAUCCCCAGCCCUCAGCUCCACCCUUUGACAGGUCCUUACCACAGCACUCUUGCACACUCUGGCCCCAGUGGACACUUUUAUGUGUCUGCCAUGUCAUGCCUGCCGAUGUCUCACUGACCACAGAAAGCCAGGGCUGGGUCUAGACAAAAGGGACUCUGUACCCCAUAGGAGCAGCAGCACAAUGACGAGGUGAGGGAAGCAUGGGGCGGGGGGGGGGAAGGGAGGGGGUCUACUGUGCCCCCUCAUAUACUGCACGGCUCCUACUCGUCUUCUAGUCUCAACCCAGAAAUCACAUCUUCUGGGAUGAUUUUGCUGACCCCAGAGCCUGAGUGAAAAUCCUUUUUGCCAGCACCCUAACUCUACAUGUGACUGUCCACUGUCAUCAAAUACACAAGGGGAGUAUACAACAAGCAGACCUCCAGCACACACUGCCCAUUGCCCAUGCCUCCCAGUUCAUGGUUAUGUUAAUUCUGGCUCUGACAGGAGGUCACAAGUAGAUUACUUCUAUGUUUUUAGUAGGCACUAUUAACUGUCUGUGAAAUAAACAUGUAAAAAUAAAAUGGGGCUAACUGCCUUUAAAAAGGCAUAAAGCCAGGCACGGUGGUGCAUUCCUGUAAUCCCAGCACUUGGGAGGAUGAGGCAGGAGGAUCCUUGCAAGUUCUAGACCAGCCUUGGACAAAGUGAGCCCAAGUCCAGCUUGAACUGUGUGGUGAGAUCCUGUCUCAAAAAGACAAAAGAAAAAAGCAUAAAGUGUUCUUGAGACAAUUGCUUGUUAGUAGACUGCAAAUCUUUAUGAAGAUAAGCAAUAAUAUCAAACUAAGUGAAGUAAAACUGAAAUGCCCCUCAGAGGGAAGAUAAAGAAAAUUAGUCACAGAAACAUUACUUUCCUUUUUAUUAGAUUCACAGUGCCUUUUAAAAUUCCAACCUCUCCGUUAUAAUUUCUGUUACUAAUAUGCUCUGAUAGCAGACAAACUGGCUUUGGGAGUCUGUCUGGUCCAGCACUCAGUCCUCAAGCCUGUAUCCGUGGAUUUGCAAAAGCAACAGAGUCGAGCAUCUCAGAGAAACACA